UGAGGAAUAUUGGACAAUGGAGGCAACUCUGAUCCAGCCAUGCCGCGUGCAGGAAGACUGCCCUAUGGGUUGUAAACUGCUUUUAUACAGGAAGAAACCGCUCUACGUG
rnacentral:rRNA from 1 species